rnacentral:rRNA from 1 species
CCUACGGGAGGCAGCAGUGAGGAAUAUUGGUCAAUGGGCGAGAGCCUGAACCAGCCAAGUCGCGUGAAGGAUGACGGAUCUAUGGUUUGUAAACUUCUUUUAUAUGGGAGUAAACGGAGGUACGUGUUCCUUUUUGUAUGUACCAUAUGAAUAAGCAUCGGCUAACUCCGUGCCAGCAGCCGCGGUAAUACGGAGGAUGCGAGCGUUAUCCGGAUUUAUUGGGUUUAAAGGGUGCGUAGGUGGUCAGUUAAGUUAGCGGUGAAAGUUUGAGGCUCAACCUUGGAAUUGCCGUUGAAACUGGUCGGCUAGAGUGUAUUUGAGGUAGGCGGAAUGCGUGGUGUAGCGGUGAAAUGCAUAGAUAUCACGCAGAACUCCGAUUGCGAAGGCAGCUUACUAAGCUAUAACUGACGCUGAGGCACGAAAGCGUGGGGAGCAAACAGGAUUAGAUACCCGAGUAGUC